rnacentral:rRNA from 1 species
UACGUAGGGGGCAAGCGUUAUCCGGAUUUACUGGGUGUAAAGGGAGCGUAGACGGCAAUGCAAGUCUGGAGUGAAAGGCGGGGGCCCAACCCCCGGACUGCUCUGGAAACUGUAUAGCUGGAGUGCAGGAGAGGUAAGUGGAAUUCCUAGUGUAGCGGUGAAAUGCGUAGAUAUUAGGAGGAACGCCAGUGGCGAAGGCGGCUUACUGGACUGUAACUGACGUUGAGGCUCGAAAGCGUGGGGAGCAAACAGG